UUAGGCUCAAAACAACAUUUGCAGGAAAAAAAAGGGAGGAAGAACAGCCGAGAGAGAGAGUGGGUUGUGAGUGUGUAGGCUGCUGGGAACAAAAGAAAGCCAAGGAAAAAGCUAUGGAUUAGAGAGGGAAAUGAAGAAAAGAAAAGGGGAAGUAGAGGAGAAUCAAUUAAAAUGCUGAAAUUAAAGUUUAAGUCACGCGCCAUUGUUUGCUUGAUUUAUCUGAUAUGUCCAGUCUGUCUGAUUUGCUUCUGCAGCCAUCUGUGAUCAGAUGCGUGACCAGGCUUAGAGGCAUCUGCCUAGGAUCUGUUUUUGUCAGCCAACCUAUGUGCCUCCUAUGGAGGUUUCGGAUAUGUCAAGUGAUUAUCGCUAUGUGAUUUAAAGUUUAAGUUCAUUUUUUUCUUGUUUGGUUAAACAAGUCUUGUGUAUUUUCAAAAAGGGGCUAAGUCCUUUUUGUCUGAUAUGUAUAUAUAUCAUGACGUAGGGAUGAUGUGUAUAUAUGUGCAUAAAAAGUUUUAAAAAUUUUCUGUCUCAUAUAAGUCUGAACAGCUCAAUGGACGUUGUAUAUUUGUUAUCUG